GAGCGCGUGCCUCCGGCUGAAAUUUGAAAUCUGGCCCCAGGCCCGAGUUGUAAUUUGCAGAGGAUGCUUUUGGCGCGGUGCCUUCCGAGUUCCCUGGAACGGGACGCCAUAGAGGGUGAGAGCCCCGUACGGUUGGACACCAAGCCUUUGUAAAGCUCCUUCGACGAGUCGAGUAGUUUGGGAAUGCUGCUCUAAAUGGGAGGUACAUUUCUUCUAAAGCUAAAUAUUGGCCAGAGACCGAUAGCGCACAAGUAGAGUGAUCGAAAGAUGAAAAGCACUUUGAAAAGAGGGUUAAACAGCACGUGAAAUUGUUAAAAGGGAAGCGCUUGUGACCAGACUUGCGUCCGGUGAAUCACCCAGCUCUCGCGGCUGGGGCACUUCGCCGGCACAGGCCAGCAUCAGCUUGCCGUCGGGGACAAAAGCUUCAGGAACGUGGCUCCUCUCGGGGAGUGUUAUAGCCUGUUGCAUAAUACCCUUCGGCGGGCUGAGGUACGCGCUCCGCAAGGAUGCUGGCGUAAUGGUCAUCAGCGAC
rnacentral:rRNA from 1 species